GCUUGCUUCUCUUGAGAGCGGCGGACGGGUGAGUAAUGCCUAGGAAUCUGCCUGGUAGUGGGGGAUAACGUUCGGAAACGGACGCUAAUACCGCAUACGUCCUACGGGAGAAAGCAGGGGACCUUCGGGCCUUGCGCUAUCAGAUGAGCCUAGGUCGGAUUAGCUAGUUGGUGGGGUAAUGGCUCACCAAGGCUACGAUCCGUAACUGGUCUGAGAGGAUGAUCAGUCACACUGGAACUGAGACACGGUCCAGACUCCUACGGGAGGCAGCAGUGGGGAAUAUUGGACAAUGGGCGAAAGCCUGAUCCAGCCAUGCCGCGUGUGUGAAGAAGGUCUUCGGAUUGUAAAGCACUUUAAGUUGGGAGGAAGGGUUGUAGAUUAAUACUCUGCAAUUUUGACGUUACCGACAGAAUAAGCACCGGCUAACUCUGUGCCAGCAGCCGCGGUAAUACAGAGGGUGCAAGCGUUAAUCGGAAUUACUGGGCGUAAAGCGCGCGUAGGUGGUUUGUUAAGUUGGAUGUGAAAUCCACGGGCUCAACCUGGGAACUGCAUUCAAAACUGACUGACUAGAGUAUGGUAGAGGGUGGUGGAAUUUCCUGUGUAGCGGUGAAAUGCGUAGAUAUAGGAAGGAACACCAGUGGCGAAGGCGACCACCUGGACUAAUACUGACACUGAGGUGCG
rnacentral:rRNA from 1 species